ACUUUGCAAUGUGCGAAAGCACGACAAGGUUAAUCCGAGUGAUUUGUGCUAAACGAAUCUUUUGUUAGUCCUAGAAACACUAACGAAUAAGGGGUGGGCAAGUUCUGGUGUCAGUCGCCGCGGUAAAACCAGCACCUCAAGUGGUCAGGAUGAUUAUUGGGCCUAAAGCAUCCGUAGCCGGCUCUGUAAGUUUUCGGUUAAAUCUGUACGCUCAACGUACAGGCUGCCGGGAAUACUGCAGAGCUAGGGAGUGGGAGAGGUAGACGGUACUCGGUAGGAAGGGGUAAAUCCUUUGAUCUAUUGAUGACCACCUGUGGCGAAGGCGGUCUACCAGAACACGUCCGACGGGUGAGGGAUGAAAGCUGGGGGAGCAAACCGGGAUUAGA
rnacentral:rRNA from 1 species